rnacentral:rRNA from 1 species
UGUGUAGGCGGUUCUUUAAGUUUGUUGUGAAAUCUCCCGGCUUAACCGGGAGGGUGCGGCGAAUACUGAGGGACUAGAGUACGGGAGAGGAAAGUGGAAUUCCUGGUGUAGCGGUGAAAUGCGUAGAUAUCAGGAGGAACACCGGUGGUGUAGACGGCUUUCUGGACCGUAACUGACGCUGAGACACGAAAGCGUGGGUAGCAAACAGGAUUAGAUACCCUGGUAGUCCACGCCCUAAACGAUGCAUAUUUGGUGUGGGCAGUUCAUUCUGUCCGUGCCGGAGCUAACGCGUUAAACAUGCCGCCUGGGGAGUACAGUCGCAAGGCUGAA